UUGGGGGGCGUUUGGUCUAAGGUAAACUUUACACCUUAAAUGCACAACAAUGCCAGUUUAGACCUUGAGCAAAUUGGUCAAACAUUGGUAACAUUAAAUCAAACUGAGUUCGGCUGAUCUUACCGAGCAGCAGGAUGACCGUCAGUCCUCCCGUCCUCAGGAAGUCCAACAUGACCACAAUCCGUGAUUCUGGAUGGUUCUGGUCGGUUUUGGACAACCCAAAGACAGACGGCUUCAGACUGAGCUUUAAUCUGGUGGGCGGGGCUUCAAGCUUUGAACUUCCAGUUAAGAAGAAAGAGGAAAUAGCUUCACUUUGCUCUGACCCAGAAGCUGGCAGGAGAAUCGGUCCAACCAGAACCAAACAUGGAGACGCAGCAUUCAGCUUCUAUAAACAACAAAUCUGGAACAAACUGCAAAACAGUGGAAAUGCUGAGUUCCUUUAAGGCUAAAAACCUAGCUGGUUAGAGUUUGAUUAAUAAAUGGAACAUUGAUCCAUAUAUCUGAUGAUUUUGGUGAUGUUGACAGAUUACAAAGUUUAUUAUUCAUAAUUAGUUUGUUUGAUAUUUUUAGGAUGUGAAAAAUUUUGAUCUGCCAUGUUUCUGAUGUCCAGAUGUGACAUGUCCCUCAGCCGCCGUCUCCGUCUCAGGUUCUUGUUCAUGCAUCAGACGAUGUAAUCAGAUGACGUCAUCAGGUGAUGCUCAGUGACAUCAGCAGCAGGAUGUGAUGAAGUUGAAGGCAUCACUCUGUUGAUCAGAUCAACAUUCAAACGUUCAUUCAGACAUUCAUCCUUCCAGACUUGAGGACUCUGUCUGUCUGCCUGGCGAUUGGCAAGUCCCGCACUACACACCUUCAUCAUCAUCACCUUCACUACCAUCAUCUUCAUCAUCAUUAUCAUCACCAUCAUCAGCUCCAGGUUCUCUGUCAGAUCCAGGCUUCAGAGGAGUCAGAGAUCUGAGUGUUUAUCAUUAUAAUGUUUUUAUGGUUCUGUAGAUUUGAUGGUUUAAACCAGAAUCCAAAUCCUUACUGCAGACUUGUGGCCCUGAAAUGGCAGCCCGUGGCCCACAUCUGGCCCGUGAGCCCCCUAUUUGCUGUGCGAAGUUUGCAGUCAGUCCAGAGCUGAUCCAGAAAACGGAUAUGGAUCUGUUCUGGAUUUUCAGGUCUGAAGAACCAAAGCUCCAUCAAUUUGUUUUGAUGCGACAACGAUCUGUUGACGGGCUUUAACUUGACUAGACAGCUGCAGGUUACAGGUCAAGUGAGCUGGUAAGUUUGGGUUAGUUUGGCAUGCUAAUCGUUCACCAGCAUAAGAAAGAUGGAGGAUUAAAACUGUCAGUUUAUGGUUCACUGCCGAUGGAUUUAUUUAUUCGACGUCCAACAAUACUAACUGGGUCAGGUUCUGUUCAGGUAGGUCAGGUUCUGUUGGACCCGGUUCUGUUCAGCUCAGGGGAAACUUCUGAUUCAGAUCAAACAGAUGAAGAAGAAAACUUGCGCAGUGACCUGUUUUAAUCACCAUGAAAACCACUGCCGGACAUCUAUCUUGUACGCCGUUAUCUGAUGGUGGUUUGAUUUCUGCUGAUCGGAGUUUUUCCUCCGAGACGUCUGAUCUGAAUCGGACCUGCACCAGAUUCUGGUUUCUGGUCCCUCAACGUGUUUACGACCCGACUGAUGAGCAAUGACUGCAAGAUUCUGAAGGUCCUGAAAGGUUUUGGAUGAGUCUGGAGGGUUCUGGGUUAUGAAAGGUUCUAGAACUCCAUCAAACUUCGAGGUUCUUCUGACGUUCAACUCUUGCAGUUUUCUCACAUCAGACUCCAAUAAUUCUCUGACCGGUGGAAGCUCCAAAUGUCCUAAAGUUCUUCUUUCCACCAAAAUUUCUAUAGCUCAAACAGAGCAACAGCUAAAAGCUCCAUCAGUUUGUUUUGAUGCGACAACAAUCUGUUGACGGCUUUAGCUUGACUAGACCGCUGCAGGUUACAGGUCUAGUGAGCUGGUAUGUUUGAUCUUCCAGGUCUUUUGCUGAUGAUUGUACCGACUGUCUCUGGAGGUAAGACCAGAGAAGAAGACCAGGAGGACCUGAAGUCCCUCAGGACAUGAAAACACUGUCCUUCAAUCUGUCCAUUUAUCUGUCCCUCUAUCGAUCCAUCCCUCCACACCUCUGUCCAUCCCUCUAUCCAUCUGUCCCUCCAUCUGUCCCCAGUAUCUCUGAGGGUGAGUCCAGACUUGCAGCAGUUCUUCAGGGUCAGUGAAUCUCAGCUCUGAGGGCCCGUUAAACUCUGACAGUUUGGUGGUGAAGAAGAAGAAGAUGACAGGAGGUCCAUCAGCAUCCCGUGGAGUGGACUUUGGGAGGUUGUCUUCUCCUUCUUCCUGUUGUCUUUCAGCUCACCAGGACUUCUCUGGGUCCUACUGGUGUGAGACCAGAACCGGAGCAUGGAGCGACCUAGUCAACAUCACAGCCUCAGGUACAGAAACUCUGAUCUGCUCUGAAUGUUUCAGAUGGACUUCAGUUUCACUCUGUUCCUGUUCCUCAGACCGAAGUCUGAUCCUGUAGAUCCCUGCACUUCCUGUGGCAGCAGGAGGUGAUGUCACCCUAUGCUGCAGGAAGAACCUGUCCUGCCUGGUUCUUCCUCUGUUUCUCCACCAGACAUGCAGGUUCAGAUCAAACGGCUUACAGCAGCUUUUGAGACUCAGAGGUGAGGCAAUAAACACAAGAAGCAGACAAGUAAAACAGAGGAACCAGUGAGACCAGGUCAUAUACUGGGAGAGAAUGCUGGAGCAGCAGAGCAGAGCUGAUUGGCUAACAGGCUGCAGCUGUGAGGGGAGGAGCAGCAGGCAGACUGAGAGAGAGGCACCAAUAAACCAAACUACAAACCCAGAAAACCCAAAACAACCUAACAUCCUAACAACGAAUAAACAUCUGAUCCUGCAGAUCCCUGCACUUCCUGUAGAAACAGGAAGUGAUAUCACUCUGAACUGCACAGGGAAGAACCAACGCGCCGUCGCUGUGUACUUCUUCAACGGGAAUCUGGUUGGUUCUGAUCUCAGAGAGAACCUUGUCCUCCAGAAUCUCCAACCGUCUGAUGAAGGUUCCUACUGGUGCUCUACUGAUGAGUUUGGGUCAACCCUUCAGAGCCUGCUGAGGGUCAGAGGUUCUCCAACACCUGAGACCUUCUGGUCCUCUCCUGCCGUCCACCAGUCCUCCCCGUCUCCUCCAUCCAACUCCUCCAUCCUCUUCCCAGUACUAUGAGCCACAGGUCCUCUGGUUUCUCUGGUUUUGGUCGUUCUGUUGGUUCUUCUGGUCCUGGUGGUGACUCUGGGUCCAUGGAGGCAUCAGGAAGGCAGGAAGCAGCCAUGUCCUCCAGGUGGUGCCACCUCCACCCGGGUCGUUUUCAGACCUUCAGUCAAUGAGAUUCCAUCCAGACGAUCACACGGCUGUCCCGUCCAAUCAGAGAUAACUUCCUGCAGAUACAGCUGCAGUCCGUCUGGUGAAGCUCAGGUGUUUGGUUCCUCAGGUUUUCAUCUCUAAUAAUAAAUCUGUUCUGAUAUUAAAGAUUGGAUCCCGAGAUGUUUCUGGAUGGUUUAUAAACCAGUUUAAAACUCAUUUACUGAUUAAAUUAACACAAAGAAAUAAAAGGAAAAUGAAUGAAAA